CGAACAGUGACAUUACCAGUGCUACAUCUCCAGUAAUCCACAAGAUAGAAGAAAGGCUCCAGCACCAGACAUGGACGUUGUGAAUAAUCCCGAUCUUUAUUUAUCACCAAAAUUCAGUAAACUUACUAAAAACCAACUGGAAGAGCCUCAAAGAUGCCUUCAUUCGUCAUCGGCGCAAGGAGAGGGAACAGAGGAGAGGAGCUUCGCCAAGUGCACGGUCCAGCUAUGUCUAUGCGGAGCAAAUGGCCUUUCUAAUACCAUGCACUGAAAUGUGUAGCACUGAUAGUAGCUGGUCGCAAAGUCAACAGCAUGAGGAGGAAGAGGAGGAGGUCUUCAGGGACAGUGAGGCCUGUGCGUCUACGGGGCCAC